rnacentral:rRNA from 1 species
AGUAACGCAUCGGAACGUACCGAGUAGUGGGGGAUAACUGUCCGAAAGGAUGGCUAAUACCGCAUACGCUUUGAGAAGGAAAGCGGGGGAUCUUCGGACCUCGCGCUAUUCGAGCGGCCGAUGUCUGAUUAGCUAGUUGGUGGGGUAAAGGCCUACCAAGGCGACGAUCAGUAGCGGGUCUGAGAGGAUGAUCCGCCACACUGGGACUGAGACACGGCCCAGACUCCUACGGGAGGCAGCAGUGGGGAAUUUUGGACAAUGGGCGCAAGCCUGAUCCAGCCAUGCCGCGUGUCUGAAGAAGGCCUUCGGGUUGUAAAGGACUUUUGUCAGGGAAGAAAAGCUUGAGGCUAAUACCCUUGAGUGAUGACGGUACCUGAAGAAUAAGCACCGGCUAACUACGUGCCAGCAGCCGCGGUAAUACGUAGGGUGCGAGCGUUAAUCGGAAUUACUGGGCGUAAAGCGGGCGCAGACGGUUACUUAAGUCAGAUGUGAAAUCCCCGGGCUCAACCUGGGAACUGCGUUUGAAACUGGGUAGCUAGAGUAUGUCAGAGGGGGGUAGAAUUCCACGUGUAGCAGUGAAAUG